GGGUAAUAUUCAUAAUAAAGAUCAGGCUGGUCUAAAUUUCCAAAUGGUUCGAAUUCCAUUUCUGCAUUUUGGAAGAGAUUCAGUUUUACGAGCAGUGCUAGUCUCACAAACCACAGCUGCAAAGAAUCUGUUGUAUGGUUUGUAGGUAGUCCACUUUUUUUAUAGCCUUGACCAUGAGCAGUUAACAGACGUCCACACAAAUCAACUGCUGCCCUCCAGUUUUUACUGCUAAUUAGCUGUUUCAAGCCUACAAAUGACUGUUCGACAGAGUUGGCAUUUAGAACUUGUC
rnacentral:lncRNA from 1 species